GAGUUUGAUCCUGGCUCAGAAUCAACGCUGGCGGCGUGCCUAACACAUGCAAGUCGCACGAGAAAGUGGAGCAAUCCAUGAGUAAAGUGGCGCACGGGUGAGUAACACGUGAAUGAUCUACCUCCGAGUGGGGAAUAACUGAGAGAAAUCUUAGCUAAUACCGCAUAAUACCCACGGGUCAAAGCAGCAAUGCGCUUGGAGAGGAGUUCGCGGCCGAUUAGUUAGUUGGCGGGGUAAUGGCCCACCAAGACGAUGAUCGGUAUCCGGCCUGAGAGGGCGCACGGACACACUGGAACUGAAACACGGUCCAGACUCCUACGGAGGCAGCAGUGGGGAAUUUUGCGCAAUGGGGGAAACCCUGACGCAGCAACGCCGCGUGGAGGAUGAAGCCCCCUUGGGGUGUAAACUCCUUUCGAUCGGGAAGAUAAUGACGGUACCGAUAUAAGAAGCCCCGGCUAACUUCGUGCCAGCCGCCGCAGUAAU
rnacentral:rRNA from 1 species